CUGCAUAUGAUCUCAUACAGGGAAUGGACUUACAGGGUCAAAGUAUAAAUGCUGGUGCCUCGACCUCUGGAGGAUCACACAGAGCUGCGCAGAGGAGGCUUUUCCCCCAAAGAGAACAAGGCACCACGACAAUGAAAUCACCCAUGUCCACCAGUCACCCCCCCCCCCCCCCGAAGCCAGAUUGAGUCAAUCCAAAGACCGCGCCAGAUCAAAACCAAGCGGUGCUCAAAGAAUAAAGGGGCAGUCAAAAAGGAGAGCAACACACAGCAAGUUGGGAAAGGCUGAACUUCAAGUCGGGGACUUGGUAGCUAUAUAUCUCCAGCAGAAGAAAGGGCGACUCUUCAUUGCUAUGGUUAAGAAGACGUCAACACCUAUAGAAGUCCAGUGGAUGGAGGGUAGCUAUAAUAGCGCAUGGCGGUUAUCUUUUUCUGACACAAACGAACCCUACUUAGAUUAUUAUCAUCUUCACACAUGGUCCUCCUUCAGUUUGAUCUUGACAAUAGAAAAAGAUUGCAUAAAGAAACCAUAAAAUGACUUAAAGAUUCAUAUCAUGAAACAGAUGUAACCAUGCACUUUUAGACAAGGGUGUUUUUUGUUUCAUAGUUUUUUCGCAAACAUUUUUUUCAUAUUUAUCUCGCAACUUUGAUGACCGA